rnacentral:rRNA from 1 species
UACGUAGGUGGCGAGCGUUGUCCGGAAUUACUGGGUGUAAAGGGCGUGUAGACGGGCUUGUAAGUCAGGUGUGAAAUACCGCAGCUUAACUGCGGGGCUGCACUUGAAACUACGAGUCUUGAGUGCGGGAGAGGGAAGCGGAAUUCCUAGUGUAGCGGUGAAAUGCGUAGAUAUUAGGAGGAACACCAGUGGCGAAGGCGGCUUCCUGGACCGUAGCUGACGUUGAGGCGCGAAAGCGUGGGGAGCAAACAGGAUUAGAUACCCUGGUAGUCCCU